AAGAUGUAUUUUCACAAGGUACCUCAAUGCUCAGCAGGCAACUGGAUCGUACAUCAACAGGCAAAUGAGUGUUUGGAAGAAAACCUGUGCACCCAGACAACGGGAUAAAGGUGACACCCGAAAUCAUCUUAUAGUUGUUGGUGGCUGCCAAGGGCACAAUACCAAGAACCUUGCCUUCACAAAAAGAGGGGAGGGGGGGAACCACAAUUUAGGAAGGGAGCCCCCAGCCUGCUGCUCGGGCACAACCAGGCUGCGUGCGGGCUGCCUUCAGGGCAGGCAGGGUGCCGAGCACCCCUCGGCCCAGGUGAGCGGGGUCUGUCAGGGCAGACCCGGGGUCUGUCGGGGGGCCCCUCCCCUUUCUCCCUGCCUCUUUCAGCCGAACAAAGGCGGCGGCGGGGCCGCUCGGUGCCGUGAGGGCGGCUCGGCACAGCCCGGCCCGGCCCCGCGUCGGGAGGAAGCGGCGGGCGGGCGGGUGCCAGCCACCCGGCUCCCCCGCCCCCCGUCUCCUCCCCUCCGCUGCCGAGCCUCCUCCUCCUCCUCCUCCUCCUCCUCCUCCUUCUGCUGCUGGCGGCGGCGGCGCCUUCCUCGGCCCCGGCUCCCCGCUCUUCCCCGCGGCUUCGCCUCGCUCCUCGCCGGGAGGCUCCGCGAGGACGAGCCCCCUGGAGUAUUACAGCCUACCAUUCAGAGGCUGGACAAGAGCUUGGCCUUGCACUUUUACAGAUCGCUGCCUGUAGCGGAGCACAAAGGGAGCGGCGAGACUCCCACGUCUUUCAGCGAGAAGAAAGGAGGCAGCAGAGCAGACUAACGCGGGCUCGCGUCUGGUGGCCUGGCGGUACAAAGGCUGCCUUUAAAAGAGAAGCGCAGCGUUAUUUAAUGAGCUGUGAGAUGAGGAGGCGCUGCUGCUAACGCUCAGAUCCCGGGAUUCAUCGGCUAUUCAUUGUGCUUAAUGUACAUGUUUCUACACCGUGCAUUUAGGAGAUCCCAGAGAAGAAUCCAAAACGGCUG
rnacentral:lncRNA from 1 species